rnacentral:rRNA from 1 species
AACGAACGCUGGCGGCAUGCCUAACACAUGCAAGUCGAACGAGACCUUCGGGUCUAGUGGCGCACGGGUGCGUAACGCGUGGGAACCUGCCCUUAGGUUCGGAAUAACUCCCCGAAAGGGGUGCUAAUACCGGAUAAUGUCUUCGGACCAAAGAUUUAUCGCCUUUGGAUGGGCCCGCGUUGGAUUAGCUAGUUGGUAGGGUAAAAGCCUACCAAGGCGACGAUCCAUAGCUGGUCUGAGAGGAUGAUCAGCCACACUGGGACUGAGACACGGCCCAGACUCCUACGGGAGGCAGCAGUGGGGAAUAUUGGACAAUGGACGAAAGCCUGAUCCAGCAAUGCCGCGUGAGUGAUGAAGGCCUUAGGGUUGUAAAGCUCUUUUACCCGGGAUGAUAAUGACAGUACCGGGAGAAUAAGCACCGGCUAACUCCGUG